UUAAACUAUGCAUUCGCGACUCAGUCUCGAUCUGAGUGAAAUAUACACCCCACAAAGAAGACAUGUACCUGUUUUCUUUUGGCGCACGUGAUGAGUUUAUCUCCCACCUGCCCAGCCCGGGGAUAGACAGGAAAAGCCGGUUUUACCCCGCACCCACCCCACAGAUGAAGGAGUUUGAUCUUCUGGCUUCGCGCUAUAUUGAUAAUUGAUGAAUUAAUAUUUAUUGCGCGGGGUAUUGGCAACCUCCGCCUCCAUGUAAAGAAAGGAUUGAUAAAACGACCAGACGCGCCGCUUCGGCUUUAAGAUAGGGGAUAGGCUGCUCCGCCCUUUCCCGGCCUGCUUCACAGCAUUUCUAUUAAUUAUCAGAUUUGUGGAGGGGCAUCAAUCUGAAUCUUAUUUUAUUCUUGCAAGGAAUAGCUGUGUCUGCUACUAUCCGUGGAAGACGAUCACGUCAGUUACCUCAUCCGCUAAUUAUGUGAGGCAUAACUGUAAAAUCAUGACGAGAGCGUGAGCAGUGGCUACUGGGUUUCAUACUUGCUCACUUCUAAUUACCAUGCCCGAUGUUUUAACUUCGGACCGUAUAAGUGACUUCAACAUGUCCCUGCUACUCUCGACUCAGCCCCACAAAAGUUAUAUUUAGCUCCAUUUACUUCUAUAUUUAGCCUCUGAAAUGUCUAUCGAAUCAACUAUUGUAGUAUCGCACACCUACUCGACAAUUCAUCCCCUUUAAUACCAUACUAUACUAUUGAACCAACUA
rnacentral:rRNA from 1 species